ensembl:lncRNA
CUGUUUCGAUUGAUGGCUCCUUCUGGCCCUGGCAACUCUUUUUGGUAGCUGGUGCUCUUUCUGUAAUACUUGUUAAAAACGUCUCCGUAGCAAAGAUGUUGUUUUUUAUGUGAUUUUUUUUUUUUUUAAGUCAGCGCAUGUGUGAGCACAGACAGGCUCUCAUCUCGUUCCGCGGAGACUGGCAGGUGGAUUCUUUACCCCCUGAGCCAUCAGAGAAGCCCCUCAAGAAGAUGACUGGCCCCGAAUUUCAUUUCCAAAGGCUUGGAAAAGCAUCUUUCUCCUCCAAACAAUUACUGAAAACCAUGGCUGCCAUCUGGCCCCCACUAUCUGUUGGCCAUUCUACUAUUGCUGAAACCCAUGCCUGUUUCUGUCUCAGCCCGGCUUUAUCUGCAGGCCAAGGUUCUCCCAGCGCCCAUGGUGGAAACACUGGAUCCGGGACCUCCUUAGAUGAUCUGUCUCUUGGUGAUUCAAGUCCUCUUGCUUUUGCAGUGUUCGUGUUUCCUUCUCAUACUCAAUCUUCAAUGCUACAACCAAUGACUUGGGACACACCUGCUGCUUUUCUGAGAAUCUCAGAAUGAAGCGUUGUAUGUGAUGUGGGGACUCCAACCAUACGCUUAGAAUUCUAUUUUGGACAUUUGCAUAACUGGAUGAGCUUAUCAGUCAAGAAAGGGACAUUGG